ACAUAAGUAACGAUAAAGCGGGUGAAAAGCCCGCUCGCCGGAAGACCAAGGGUUCCUGUCCAACGUUAAUCGGGGCAGGGUGAGUCGACCCCUAAGGCGAGGCCGAAAGGCGUAGUCGAUGGGAAACAGGUUAAUAUUCCUGUACUUGGUGUUACUGCGAAGGGGGGACGGAGAAGGCUAUGUUAGCCGGGCGACGGUUGUCCCGGUUUAAGCAUGUAGGCUGGUUAUCCAGGCAAAUCCGGAUAACCAAGGCUGAGGUGUGAUGACGAGGCACUACGGUGCUGAAGUAACAAAUGCCCUGCUUCCAGGAAAAGCCUCUAAGCAUCAGGUAACAUCAAAUCGUACCCCAAACCGACACAGGUGGUCAGGUAGAGAAUACCAAGGCGCUUGAGAGAACUCGGGUGAAGGAACUAGGCAAAAUGGUGCCGUAACUUCGGGAGAAGGCACGCUGGUGUGUAGGUGAAGUCCCUGCGGAUGGAGCUGAGACCAGUCGAAGAUACCAGCUGGCUGCAACUGUUUAUUAAAAACACAGCACUGUGCAAACACGAAAGUGGACGUAUACGGUGUGACGCCUGCCCGGUGCCGGAAGGUUAAUUGAUGGGGUUAUCCGUAAGGAGAAGCUCUUGAUCGAAGCCCCGGUAAACGGCGGCCGUAACUAUAACGGUCCUAAGGUAGCGAAAUUCCUUGUCGGGUAAGUUCCGACCUGCACGAAUGGCGUAAUGAUGGCCAGGCUGUCUCCACCCGAGACUCAGUGAAAUUGAACUCGCUGUGAAGAUGCAGUGUACCCGCGGCAAGACGGAAAGACCCCGUGAACCUUUACUAUAGCUUGACACUGAACAUUGAGCCUUGAUGUGUAGGAUAGGUGGGAGGCUUUGAAGCGUGGACGCCAGUCUGCGUGGAGCCAACCUUGAAAUACCACCCUUUAAUGUUUGAUGUUCUAACGUUGGCCCCUGACCGGGGUUGCGGACAGUGUCUGGUGGGUAGUUUGACUGGGGCGGUCUCCUCCCAAAGCGUAACGGAGGAGCACGAAGGUUAGCUAAUCCUGGUCGGACAUCAGGAGGUUAGUGCAAUGGCAUAAGCUAGCUUGACUGCGAGCGUGACGGCGCGAGCAGGUGCGAAAGCAGGUCAUAGUGAUCCGGUGGUUCUGAAUGGAAGGGCCAUCGCUCAACGGAUAAAAGGUACUCCGGGGAUAACAGGCUGAUACCGCCCAAGAGUUCAUAUCGACGGCGGUGUUUGGCACCUCGAUGUCGGCUCAUCACAUCCUGGGGCUGAAGUAGGUCCCAAGGGUAUGGCUGUUCGCCAUUUAAAGUGGUACGCGAGCUGGGUUUAGAACGUCGUGAGACAGUUCGGUCCCUAUCUGCCGUGGGCGCUGGAGAAUUGAGGGGGGCUGCUCCUAGUACGAGAGGACCGGAGUGGACGCAUCACUGGUGUUCGGGUUGUCAUGCCAAUGGCACUGCCCGGUAGCUAAAUGCGGAAGAGAUAAGUGCUGAAAGCAUCUAAGCACGAAACUUGCCCCGAGAUGAGUUCUCCCUGAGACUAUAAGUCUCCUGAAGGAACGUUGAAGACGACGACGUUGAUAGGCCGGGUGUGUAAGCGCAGCGAUGCGUUGAGCUAACCGGUACUAAUGAACCGUGAGGCUUAACCUU
rnacentral:rRNA from 1 species